rnacentral:misc_RNA from 1 species
AACAAGGCGUACCUGCGGACCUGCGGAAGGAUCAUUACAAGUGACCCCGGUCUAACCACCGGGAUGUUCAUAACCCUUUGUUGUCCGACUCUGUUGCCUCCGGGGCGACCCUGCCUUCGGGCGGGGGCUCCGGGUGGACACUUCAAACCCUUGCGUAACUUUGCAGUCUGAGUAAACUUAAUUAAUAAAUUAAAACUUUUAACAAUGGAUCU